AGGAUAAACGCUGGCGGCGUGCCUAACACAUGCAAGUCGAACGCGCUUUCGGGCUUCGGUGCGAGAGCGAGUGGCGGACGGGUGAGUAACACAUGGGUACCUACCUUGGAGUGAGGGAUACCGGCGAGAAAUCGCCGACAAUACCGCAUAGGCUUCUUCACAAGGGAAGCAAAGUGACGCGAGUCACGCUGUGAGAUGGGCCUGUGGCCGAUUAGCUAGUUGGGGGGGUAACGGCUUCCCAAGGCGACGAUCGGUAGCUGGUCUGAGAGGACGAUCAGCCACACUGGGAUUGAGAACGGCCCAGACUCCUACGGGGGGCAGCAGUGAGGAAUUUUCCGCAAUGGAGGCAACUCUGACGGAGCAACGCCGCGUGCAGGAGGAAGGUUUUCGGAUCGUAAACUGCUUUUCGUCGGGGACGAGCAAGGACGGUACCCGAGGAAGAAGCCCCGGCUAACUACGUGCCAGCAGCCGC
rnacentral:rRNA from 1 species